rnacentral:rRNA from 1 species
UACGGAGGGUGCGAGCGUUAAUCGGAAUUACUGGGCGUAAAGGGUGCGUAGGUGGAAUAAUAAGUUAGCUGUGAAAUACCUGGGCUUAACCUGGGAAGGUCAGCUAAGACUGUUAAUCUGGAGUAUAGGAGAGGGUAGUGGAAUUUCCGGUGUAGCGGUGAAAUGCGUAGAGAUCGGAAGGAACACCAGUGGCGAAGGCGGCUACCUGGCCUAAUACUGACACUGAGGCACGAAAGCGUGGGGGAGCAAACAGG